GUUUAGGUAGCUUAAUAAAAGCGUAACACUGAAGAUGUUAAUAUGAGGUCUCUCCCAAAACA
rnacentral:tRNA from 1 species